UACGUAGGGUGCAAGCGUUAAUCGGAAUUACUGGGCGUAAAGCGUGCGCAGGCGGUUGUGCAAGACCGAUGUGAAAUCCCCGGGCUUAACCUGGGAAUGGCAUUGGUGACUGCACGGCUAGGAGUGUGUCAGAGGGGGGUAGAAUUCCAACGUGUAGCAGUGAAAUGCGUAGAGAUGUGGAGGAAUACCGAUGGCGAAGGCAGCCCCCUGGGAUAACACUGACGCUCAU
rnacentral:rRNA from 1 species